AAGGUCAUCGAUCAUGACCAGUCUCUGGAUUCCAAAACUUCUACAUUUCAGGAUUAUGUGUUCCAUAUCGGCAAGCUCUUCAUUGCAAUAUGUACAUUCAGCGCUCGGAAUCAAGUUAAGCCUCUUCAGGUCUUGACUGAUUGCGGCUUGAUAGUCAGUGUGAGGUAACUUCAACAACGUAGAAUGGUCAACAUCAAAGCCAUUCCUUGCAGCCAGAUCAACAAUUUCAUUCCCCCUGAUGCCACGGUGCGAUGGUACCCAAAGGAAGAGCAGUGUCUUACCAACUACCCCGGGUACUCCAAUAUCACAUAAGAUGGCUAUUAAAAUUGAGGGGACCACGUUAUCGAACGCGCCCUGUACAUCAAGGAAGACACAAGCUGUAGCAGAGUGACCGUCAAGAGAAUUCCUAAGAUCUGAGACCAAUGCUGUAAAACUUUCUGCUGCACUUCGGCCUUUCCUAAAUCCGAAUUGUUCAUUUGGAGGAGAUGCAGGGGAAUAUUUCUCAAAAAAAGAGGGAAUCCAUUCAUCAUUCUUCGGCAGUUUAGGAAUUGAAACACGCUUAAACCUCUUCAUAUAGUUCCAUACUGUACUAACAGGAGUAUAUCGAUUAAAAGAUUCACAUAAAGAUUU